rnacentral:rRNA from 1 species
UACGAAGGGGGCUAGCGUUGCUCGGAUUGACUGGGCGUAAAGGGCGCGUAGGCGGUUCGUACAGUCAGACGUGAAAUUCCUGGGCUCAACCUGGGGGCUGCGUUUGAUACGUGCGGACUUGAGUGCGGAAGAGGGUCGUGGAAUUCCCAGUGUAGAGGUGAAAUUCGUAGAUAUUGGGAAGAACACCGGUGGCGAAGGCGGCGACCUGGUCCUUGACUGACGCUGAGGCGCGAAAGCGUGGGGAGCAAACGGG